GUUUGUGGUCGUGUUUGCGGUCAUGUUUACGUUUGCUGCCUCGUGUGUUGUCCGAUCACAAUAGGAUUAAAACCUGUGGCAUCCACCAGAGCAGCGUGAGAGACGGAAGUAUGUUCACGGAUCUGGCGAGGUGAAGUACCUAUUUAUAGAUUGUUACCUGGGGACUAUUGCCGGUAGAAGGAGCCGCGGCAGACAACCAAGGAUGGCAUCCGAGAUUGGAUGGGUAAACCACUGGCAGAGUGCACGCACAGAGCCAGAAACAGGAAGGACUGGAAGAGACCGAUACUGGACGCUACCAUGGUCCCUGACCGUCAAGCAUGAGGAUGGGACUAGGUAAAGGUUAUUCCAGACCAGACACGUCACUAUA